rnacentral:rRNA from 1 species
AUUGAACGCUGGCGGCAGGCUUAACACAUGCAAGUCGAGCGGGGUGAUGGUGCUUGCACUAUCACUUAGCGGCGGACGGGUGAGUAAUGCUUAGGAAUCUGCCUAUUAGUGGGGGACAACAUCUCGAAAGGGAUGCUAAUACCGCAUACGUCCUACGGGAGAAAGCAGGGGAUCACUUGUGACCUUGCGCUAAUAGAUGAGCCUAAGUCGGAUUAGCUAGUUGGUGGGGUAAAGGCCUACCAAGGCGACGAUCUGUAGCGGGUCUGAGAGGAUGAUCCGCCACACUGGGACUGAGACACGGCCCAGACUCCUCGGGAGGCAGCAGUGGGGAAUAUUGGACAAUGGGGGGAACCCUGAUCCAGCCAUGCCGCGUGUGUGAAGAAGGCCUUAUGGUUGUAAAGCACUUUAAGCGAGGAGGAGGCUCUUUUGGUCAAUACCCAAGAUGAGUGGACGUUACUCGCAGAAUAAGCACCGGCUAACUCUGUGCCAGCCGCCGCAGUAA